UUCCAUUGCCCCCGUCGCUGAUCCGGCGAGGUUCCCUCUCCCAAGCCUCAUUUCAUGGCCGAAUAUCUUGUGAUCUCAUAUGGGUUCUUCCCUAUUAAGGCUUCCAAUUUGUGAAACCACCACCUCUCUUCAAAGAAGCGGCCUUAGUUUUCUAAAAUCCCAUAACUGGAUCUUGGAACCCUAGAUGGCUGGCAAAUCGAUCUUUGUUUGACUGCAGCCAUUGGGAAUUUCUUUCCGUGUCGCAGGCCACUGGGCAAAAUCGAUGGAAGCUGUGGAUUUUUUUCACUAAGUAGAGGUUAAUUUCUAAGCGCAUGUGUUUAUAUGGAGAGAAAUUGAGAAAUUUCUUCAAAAGUUUGUUCUCUGCCAUAGGGAAUAUUCAUGAGCAGUCAUUAUGGAUUUUGUUUUUAACAUUCAUUUUCUGAUACAGCGACUAUAUUUCUGUGGAUAAUUGGAAUGUUGUGGACAUCCUAUGCGUCGUGCCAGAAAUCUUGCAGUACAAUAUUAUAUAGACUCAUAUUUCAAAUCCUCUAUGAACAAUGUAACUUGGUGUACUCUCUGGAAAAAAGAGAGAAUAAAUAUUGAGAAGGUAAUGUAAAAUUCCCUGGUCAUGCUAAACUUUUU